CGGGCCAGAAUUGCCACGUGGUCUAUUGUGUCAGUCAGGGUUCUCUGACAGAACCGAUAGGACCGUUUAAUAUACACUCAAAGGGGGGUUAUUAGAGUGGCUUACAGGCUAUGGUCAGAAUGGUCUAACAAUGGCUGUCUCUUGGCAGAAAGGCUCCAUCGGUUGUCCAGUUGCCCAGUCCACAAGACUGAAUGCCUCAGCACUUCCUCUCCGCUGCAGCUCGGGGAAGUCCUAGAGAGAUGACAGUCUUCAGUCUACAUUAGAAUAUCAGGGAGGUUCCUCUACGUGCUCAUCAGUAAGAGUGAAGGCUCUGUCUAAGGAAGAUGGUGGAUGGCAUCCCAGCACCUGCACUUCAUCACCCGACUGUGGCAGCUUCUGCUAUUAUAUGUAACCUUGCGUUUUUAACUGUAGGGAAAAAGAAGUCACUUGCCCACCUAACAUGCCAGCUAUUGGAAUUGUAAGAACUAACCCCACUCAGGCAUCCCUUCUCUCAGUUAUUUCAAAAGUAAAGCAGGAAGAAAGAAGAACCUGCCUUCCAACUGUAUAGAUACAUGCAGCGUGUGGAAAUGAAGCCACUCCAGGGCAAACGACCCCCAAGAGUUCUCCGGAAGAUGGAAUUCUUCCCAAUUUUGUGUGUGUGUGUGUGUGUGUGUUUUCCUGUGAUAAAACAUCUUGAUAAAAGCAACUUAGGGGCUAAGGAAUUUAGUUGGUUCACAGUUCAUUUAUAGUUUAUUCUUGUGGGGAAGUCAGGACACCUGAGGCAUAUAUUACAUCCAUAGUCAAGACCACAGAGCAAGGAGUUUACGAAUGCACCAGAGUGCUCAGCUUGCUCUCUCCAUGCUCACAGAGUCCACCAUUUCCUGUCUAGAGGACUGUCCCACUGGGAUCAAUCUAUGCAGAAUAAUCCCUCACAGACACGUGCAUAACUAACCUAGUCUAGACAAUCCACAUUAGGACUUCUUAGAUUACACCUAGAUUGUAUUGAGUUGACAAUGAGCGCUAGUUCCUCUAGGGUCAUGAACUAGGUUCCAGCCA
rnacentral:lncRNA from 1 species